rnacentral:tRNA from 1 species
GCUGUAGCUCAGUGGUAGAGCACCUGCCUUUCAUGCAGGAGAUCCCAGGUUCAAUCCCUGGCGUCUCCA